rnacentral:ncRNA from 1 species
CUUAUUAAGAGCGGCUGAGGGACAGGCCCUGUGAAGCCCGGCAACCUGAAUUUCAAGGUGCUAAAUCCUGCGGCAUUCUGCCGAAAGAUAAGG